GAUGAACGCUGGCGGCGUGCCUAAUACAUGCAAGUCGAGCGAACGGACGAGAAGCUUGCUUUUCUGAUGUUAGCGGCGGACGGGCGAGUAACACGUGGAUAACCUACCUAUAAGACUGGGAUAACUUCGGGAAACCGGAGCUAAUACCGGAUAAUAUUUUGAACCGCAUGGUUCAAAAGUGAAAGACGGUCUUGCUGUCACUUAUAGAUGGAUCCGCGCUGCAUUAGCUAGUUGGUAAGGUAACGGCUUACCAAGGCAACGAUGCAUAGCCGACCUGAGAGGGUGAUCGGCCACACUGGAACUGAGACACGGUCCAGACUCCUACGGGAGGCAGCAGUAGGGAAUCUUCCGCAAUGGGCGAAAGCCUGACGGAGCAACGCCGCGUGAGUGAUGAAGGUCUUCGGAUCGUAAAACUCUGUUAUUAGGGAAGAACAUAUGUGUAAGUAACUGUGCACAUCUUGACGGUACCUAAUCAGAAAGCCACGGCUAACUACGUGCCAGCAGCCGCGGUAAUACGUAGGUGGCAAGCGUUAUCCGGAAUUAUUGGGCGUAAAGCGCGCGUAGGCGGUUUUUUAAGUCUGAUGUGAAAGCCCACGGCUCAACCGUGGAGGGUCAUUGGAAACUGGAAAACUUGAGUGCAGAAGAGGAAAGUGGAAUUCCAUGUGUAGCGGUGAAAUGCGCAGAGAUGUGGAGGAACACCAGUGGCGAGGGCGACUUUCUGGUCUGUAACUGACGCUGAUGUGCGAAAGCGUGGGGAUCAAACAGGAUUAGAUACCCUGGUAGUCCACGCCGUAAACGAUGAGUGCUAGGUGUUAGGGGGUUUCCGCCCCUUAGUGCUGCAGCUAACGCAUUAAGCACUCCGCCUGGGGAGUACGACCGCAAGGUUGAAACUCAAAGGAAUUGACGGGGGCCCGCACAAGCGGUGGAGCAUGUGGUUUAAUUCGAAGCAACGCGAAGAACCUUACCAAAUCUUGACAUCCUUUGACAACUCUAGAGAUAGAGCCUUCCCCUUCGGGGGACAAAGUGACAGGUGGUGCAUGGUUGUCGUCAGCUCGUGUCGUGAGAUGUUGGGUUAAGUCCCGCAACGAGCGCAACCCUUAAGCUUAGUUGCCAUCAUUAAGUUGGGCACUCUAAGUUGACUGCCGGUGACAAACCGGAGGAAGGUGGGGAUGACGUCAAAUCAUCAUGCCCCUUAUGAUUUGGGCUACACACGUGCUACAAUGGACAAUACAAAGGGCAGCGAAACCGCGAGGUCAAGCAAAUCCCAUAAAGUUGUUCUCAGUUCGGAUUGUAGUCUGCAACUCGACUACAUGAAGCUGGAAUCGCUAGUAAUCGUAGAUCAGCAUGCUACGGUGAAUACGUUCCCGGGUCU
rnacentral:rRNA from 1 species